rnacentral:rRNA from 1 species
UAGCGAAGGGGGGCUAGCGUUGCUCGGAAUCACUGGGCGUAAAGGGUGCGUAGGCGGGUUAUUAAGUCAGAGGUGAAAUCCUGGAGCUCAACUCCAGAACUGCCUUUGAUACUGAUAGUCUUGAGUAUGGGAGAGGUGAGUGGAACUGCGAGUGUAGAGGUGAAAUUCGUAGAUAUUCGCAAGAACACCAGUGGCGAAAGGCGGCUCACUGGCCCAUUACUGACGCUGAGGCACGAAAGCGUGGGGAGCAAACAGG